rnacentral:sRNA from 1 species
UUCUUCUGAAAGAUGUGCAACCACCCAUAGUGAUAGUGGUCCUGUAUGGCCCCCAAAAAGUAGUAGUGUGCGCCGCCACAGAGAGGUUUUCUCGGUAAUGAUUGGAACAAGUCGAUCACGAUAAGUCUUUUAUCAGUAGGCCAACCUAAAAAAAUCCCCAUAAUUAGCACAACCAUUUGCUCAGUAUCUCACCUUUGCCUAGUUGUGGAGCUAAUAACCGCAAAGAACAAGAAGCGUUUUGUCCAAACAAACUCUGAAGGACGGUGAAAAGUCGGGCGUGGCAAUAUGAAUGGAAGAGUGAGGAAAAACCUCCUCUGCUGGGAGCUGAUAAGAAUGCAUGAUGCAAUACGACCAGCAAUCUAAUGCCUAAUAUCCACGAUCAUUGAGAGAUAUGUAAUAUCGUGCUUCUCACCCUGCCACUUGCUUUUUCUUUGCAGAGUAGAGCCAUCAUCAUUACAAGUAUUAGUAGCAGAUCGGCCGGGUCUGCAGACCAGCCAUACAGCGAACUGCAGUCUAUGGAAUAUAAGCGAAAGAACGCGGAAAAAUGAACGACAUGGAACUUGACACAACUGUACAGCACUACAAACUAGUACUAGUAUUGUUUCCUUGGAUUUUUGAAACUUAGAACUGGAUCACCAAGCAACAAGCCCUGCACCGAAGACAGGAUUCAAAUGGGACACAUAGUCGACUACAUUACAUAAAAAUGGAAAGCGGAAUUGCGAAUGUUACCUGAUCCAGCAGAUAUAUUGAAUCGAUUGAAAAUAGACGUUCAACAUGAUGCCAACGCCUUCUAAUCCUCGAGGACGUUACUGAUAGAUACACGCAGGAUAAUGAGUGUAUUAUUAUGUUUCAAUUCAAGGUGCGAUCAUCUACCUCAUACCUUGGUUUCUUUUUGGAGCCUGUAUGAGUAUCCUCGUCGCCUUCCCAAGAAAGCUCUGCCAACGACAUUGAUCCGUGCGGCGCUCGUGAUCGUUUUAAAUGAGACAUGGAGGGCAGAUGUCGAUUCUCGUGACCUGAAUGACCGGAGAGUUGAGGAGGAGGAAGAAUCCCUUCAAUCGCCAGCUGCAAUUCAGUGAUCCUUCACCACAUCAGUUAAUGAGGUAACAAGUCGACCACCAAGCUUACCUCAUGGCGAGUUUCUGGUUCUGGGACUCUUGUCAGCUUUUUUAACGGUUGACUAUAACCAUUACACGCACGACUGGUGUACGCGCCUAGCAUGCUUAACAAUUGCUUUCGCCCUGUUGUCUUUCUCUUCUUCACUCAAUGACCCGACUUCUCGGAUGUGGGACUUAGACGUAACGUCAAUAUCUGACGGUGGUCCCAGUUGAGGAAUAGGUUGCUGAGGUGAUUGGCCUUGAAGCCGUCGCUCUUUCUCACGCUCGUGGGCCAUCUCUUGGGACACAAUCAUUUGGAUCUUCAGGAUUGUCAACCAUUAGACUGUAGUGAUAUGUAA